rnacentral:rRNA from 1 species
CCUACGGGAGGCAGCAGUGAGGAAUAUUGGACAAUGGACGAGAGUCUGAACCAGCGAAGUAGCGUGAAGGAUGACUGCCCUAGGGGUUGUAAACUUCUUUUAUAUGGGAAUAAAAUGUUCCACGUGUGGGAUUUUGUAUGUACCAUAUGAAUGAGGAUCGGCUAACUCCGUGCCAGCAGCCGCGGUAAUACGGAGGAACCGAGCGUUAUCCGGAUUGAUUGGGUUUAAAGGGAGCGUAGGUGGAUUGUUAAGUCAGUUGUGAAAGUUUGCGGCUCAACCGUAAAAGUGCAGUUGAAACUGGCAGUCUUGAGUACAGUAGAGGUGGGCGGAAUUCGUGGUGUAGCGGUGAAAUGCGUAGAUAUCACGAAGAACUCCGAUUGCGAAGGCAGCUCACUGGACUGCAACUGACACUGAGGCUCGAAAGUGUGGGUAUCAAACAGGAUUAGAUACCCCUGUAGUC